UGUGUGCGUGUGUGAGUGAGACAGGAACAGAAAGGCCUGUGGUGUUGACAACAUCCUAAAUGAAAUGAUCAAAUUCACAGAUCCCAAAUUCCAACUGG